rnacentral:rRNA from 1 species
ACGUAGGGGGCAAGCGUUAUCCGGAUUUACUGGGUGUAAAGGGAGCGUAGACGGCCGUGCAAGUCUGAUGUGAAAGGCUGGGGCUCAACCCCGGGACUGCAUUGGAAACUGUAUGGCUGGAGUGCCGGAGAGGUAAGCGGAAUUCCUAGUGUAGCGGUGAAAUGCGUAGAUAUUAGGAGGAACACCAGUGGCGAAGGCGGCUUACUGGACGGUAACUGACGUUGAGGCUCGAAAGCGUGGGGAGCAAACAG